UUCUAAGCAGUGAUUCCACAUCAAGUCAGUCUAUAGGAGGAAAGUUAGUCGUGUCAGGUGACUGGCUCACAGCAGUCUCUCUGCUAUGAUUCAUAUCAGCACCAAAUUGGAUUGCGCAAAGCUCUGGGUGCCCAGGCUCACAAUGUCCUGCAAUGCAUCAUGGGCCACUGGGCUGUGUGCUAGGGAGAGGAUGUCUGGAGGUAAAGCUUUGGCUGGCAGGUGGCUUCUCUCAUCAGCCAACCAGAAACAAAAAGCUGACUUUAAACCCUUGGAGACACAAGAGCUUUACUUCUGCGACGCUCUCUUCACAGCAUUUCAUGAACGUUACGGGGGAAUCAGGAGCAGCACAGAUGUUUGAUGAUGUCUUGUCAUGGUCUGACACCGUGUGAAUUAUUCUGGUACUGCGGCAUCAUCAUCACCAUCGCCACCACCACCACCUCCUGCGGUUUCACAGCAGACGGCAGCCAGGUCACAGCGCCACCUCCUGGUGGGUGGAAAUGUGACAUAAGGCAUCAACUCUACGAAUGAAAUGACUCACUGGAAAGUAUGGUUGUUGUUUUUUUCUUUUUUUCUUUUAAAUGCUGCUUCACUAGAAACUUUUUAUCCCACUUUAUCUGAAUGGCAGUAAACUCCACCCACCUGGCUGCUCCAAAGUGGGGUUAAAACAAACACAUUGACGGUGACUAAUAAAGACUUCCUUGGAACCCCGAGCCAUCAGUGAAUCUGGACAACGUCGACUGGAGGAAACCCAAACUCAGCAGCUUUGAUUUGUGCGUAAUUCGUGACUGGGAAAUUCCAACUAAAUCUUUUUUUUAAUGUGGGUUGUUAUUUUACAGGAAUCCACAAAAAAAAAAACACGUUAUUUUGAUACUGGUUGAUAAAGCAUGAGGCCUUU